GACGAACGCUGGCGGCGUGCUUAACACAUGCAAGUCGAACGGAAAGGCCCUGCUUUUGUGGGGUGCUCGAGUGGCGAACGGGUGAGUAACACGUGAGUAACCUGCCCUUGACUUUGGGAUAACUUCAGGAAACUGGGGCUAAUACCGGAUAGGAGCUCCUGCUGCAUGGUGGGGGUUGGAAAGUUUCGGCGGUUGGGGAUGGACUCGCGGCUUAUCAGCUUGUUGGUGGGGUAGUGGCUUACCAGGGCUUUGACGGGUAGCCGGCCUGAGAGGGUGACCGGCCACAUUGGGACUGAGAUACGGCCCAGACUCCUACGGGAGGCAGCAGUGGGGAAUAGUGCACAAUGGGCGGAAGCCUGAUGCAGCAACGCCGCGUGCGGGAUGACGGCCUUCGGGGUGUAAACCGCUUUCGCCUGUGACGAAGCGUGAGUGACGGUAAUGGGUAAAGAAGCACCGGCUAACUACGUG
rnacentral:rRNA from 1 species